UACGGAGGAUCCAAGCGUUAUCUGGAUUUACUGGGCGUAAAGGGCGGGUAGGCGGCCACCGCAAGUCGACUGUGAAAUCUCCGGGCUUAACCCGGAAAGGUCAGCCGAUACUGCGGGGCUAGAGUGCAGAAGGGGCAACUGGAAUUCUCGGUGUAGCGGUGAAAUGCGUAGAUAUCGAGAGGAGCACCAAUGGCGAAGGCAGCUCGCUGGGACGGUACUGACGCUGAGACGCGAAAGCGUGGGGAGCAAACAGG
rnacentral:rRNA from 1 species